rnacentral:rRNA from 1 species
UACGUAGGGUGCGAGCGUUGUCCGGAAUUAUUGGGCGUAAAGAGCUCGUAGGCGGUCUGUCGCGUCGAUCGUGAAAACUUGGGGCUUAACCCUGAGCUUGCGGUCGAUACGGGCAUGACUGGAGUUCGGCAGGGGAGACUGGAAUUCCUGGUGUAGCGGUGAAAUGCGCAGAUAUCAGGAGGAACACCAGUGGCGAAGGCGGCUCACUGGACCGGAACUGACGCUGAGGCGCGAAAGCGUGGGGAGCAAACGGG